rnacentral:lncRNA from 1 species
GAUGCCUAAAAAUAUUGCCUCUUCUACCCAUUUAAAACUACUUCUAACUUCUAUUGUUGUCUCCCAAACCGCCACUUAUGUUGUAGGCAGAGGAAUUAAAGUUUUCCUUUCUGGUUCGUAAAUAACUCAUGCAGUUAUUAUCGUACAAGUAGUUAUGUAAAAAUUGCUACUUAAUCUUUGUAAAACCCUUGAAAGUGUCAUCAAAACAAGCGUUGUUUGUUUUAUGAAGUAAACACGAGUUACAAGGUCGAUAUUUCCGAGUACCAUAAAGGAACCUGGGGGUCUACUCUAAUUCACCGAAAAACGAAGUUUCGUACGAAAUUUCGCGAACUUCUUACCACGGUUCCAUUUCGUUCCGAAAUUUCGUACGAACGAAGAUUGUUUGACGUUUAUUGUCUAUAAACCUACUCUAAUUCGAAAUGAUACGAACGAAUAUUUGAGUUUGACAGACGAAACUUCGGAAUUUUAACCUCAAAUUCAACGAAACCAAAAGAGUUAUCGUUUGAUUUUCGUGUUACUUUUCGUUUUGUGAUUUUUGUGUGAAAAUUAUUGGCAAAGGCUACAAUAAUGCUUUUUAUCAAAGCAGCUUUACGUGAAGAUCGUGUAGAGCGAAGAAGGAACCGGCAGUGCUUGCGCAAUCAAUUAAAUAUAAGCGAAAUUCCCGACGUAGAGUUUGUAGGAAAUCACAGACUCAGUCGGCAAUUUUUCGAAGGGUUGUGCCAGGAAUUCGUGCCUUUAUUAUCUCCAAACAAUGCAUAUUGCAAUUGCUAGACCUUCUGGAAUCGAAAAUAUUUCCAUUUUCUUAACACCCAAGUUAUAUGUGACAGUGAUUACUAUAUAACAAGGGUGGAUGUAACAUUUGGUGGAGCAACACAUGAUGCUUAUAUUUGGAGAUAGUGUGAUAUUAGAAGCCACUUGGAGGGUCUCCAGAGUGAAACAGUUUAUCUGUUAGGUGACUCUGGGUAUGCUCUAAGGGAGCAUAUGAUGACACCUAUAGAUAAAGCUGUUGAAGAAUCUCUUGAAGGCAGAUACAACUUUGCAGAGCUUUGUUAGUGCACAUUUUAGAAAAGAGUAGGUAGGACAAAGUUCUACUCAAGCAUGCUCCAGAAAAACUGUAUGUUUAUUGAUUUUAAGAAUUUGACAUGAUGUUAUUUCUUUCCUUUAGAGUUUAAUAAAAGAAUAAAUUAUA